rnacentral:rRNA from 1 species
UACGGAGGGUGCAAGCGUUAUCCGGAUUCACUGGGUUUAAAGGGUGCGUAGGAGGGCAGGUAAGUCAGUGGUGAAAUCUCCAAGCUUAACUUGGAAACUGCCGUUGAUACUAUCUGUCUUGAAUAUUGUGGAGGUGAGCGGAAUAUGUCAUGUAGCGGUGAAAUGCUUAGAUAUGACAUAGAACACCGAUAGCGAAGGCAGCUUGCUACACAAUUAUUGACACUGAGGCUCGAAAGCGUGGGGAUCAAACAGG